CUGCUACUCAAGUGAAGGUGGCAGAGAGACAUUGGUCCUCACGCCCACACAGUACUGACCACUUUGAUUAGAAAGGUGCCCUUUGUACCUUAAACUAGGUGGAAGUUUCUUUCUUCUCUCCCAUCUUCUGAUGUACUUCUUCUUAUGCAGGUAAGAAGGCAUGCUUUUAGGACACAGGAUGACUUCAAGCAAGAGUGCCUGUCUGUGUCAUGUCUUCUUCUUCUUUAGCGAUCACUUGUAGCCAAGUAAGAUUGUCUUCCAUAAACACGAUUUUAACAAUGAGUCUGUAAGUGACUGUGGAGGCCAAUUCUGGAACCACAUCUCCUUCCACAGUGGGGACAUUGGUUUCUGUGCAGGAGUUGAUCACGGUGUGGAUUUGCCAAGCAUGCCUUCCUCUUAGCACGUUUCUCCCUUGCGUCCUGCGUUCGAGUGUCUUCAAAGCCCAUGACACUUUUGUUAAUGGCUGUUCUCCAAUUGGAGCGCUCGCAGGCAAGUGUUUCCCAAUUGUUGGUGUUUAUACUACAAUUUUAAAGAUUUGCCUUGAGACAUUCUUUAAACCUCUUUUGUUGACCACCAGCGUUAUGCUUUCCAUUUUUAAGUUUGGAAUAGAGUAGUUGCUUUGGAAGACGAUCAUCAGGCAUCCACACAACAUGACCAGUCCAACGAAGUUGAUACUGAAGAAUCAUUGCUUCAACACUGGUGAUCUUUGCUUCUUCCAGUACACUGAUAUUAGUUCGUCUGUCUUCCCAAGUGAUGUGUAAAAAAUUUUGGAGACACCGUUGAUGCAAUCUUUCAAGGAAUUGGAGAUGGCGUUUAUAAGUGGUCCACGUUUCACAAGCAUAUAGUAAGGUUAGUAGUACAAUAGCUUUGUAAACAAGCAUUUUGGUUUCCCUGCGAAUGUCCCGGUUCUCAAAUAUGCUGCACUUCAAUCGGGAGAAAGCUGCACUCGCAGAGCCCAGGCGAUCAUGGAUUUCGGCAUCAGUGUUUGCCCUUGUGGAAAGAUAACUGCCCAGGUAGGAGAAGUGAUCAACUUUUUCCAACGUUACACCAUUAAGUUGGAUUUGUAGCACUGCAAAGGGGUUAUUUUGUACUUGUUGGUGCAGCACUUUGGUUUUUUGGAUGUUGAGUGACAG